rnacentral:rRNA from 1 species
UACGUAGGGUGCGAGCGUUAAUCGGAAUUACUGGGCGUAAAGCGCACGUAGGCGGCUUUGUAAGUUAGAGGUGAAAGCCCGGGGCUCAACUCCGGAAUUGCCUUUAAGACUGCAUCGCUAGAACGUCGGAGAGGUAUGUGGAAUUCCGAGUGUAGAGGUGAAAUUCGUAGAUAUUCGGAAGAACACCAGUGGCGAAGGCGACUUACUGGACACAUAUUGACGCUGAGGUGCGAAAGCGUGGGGAGCAAACAGG